ACCAAUCUCCCUCCUCGCUUAGUCUGCACAUUUAGAAAUACAUGCAGGGCGUGAGUACAUAAUACUCAGUGGGCAAACGCCGAAAAUCAAGAAAGGUGCUCUUAGAGCUAUAGGUUUGAAGCUUGCCACAUCUCAGCAAUACACAGAAAUAAAGUUAGCGUAAAUGAAUCUGUGCAUGCAAUUUUCAUAAUCAUGACAUCAUAAGUAAACGACUGCAGUCAAAGAUCUUAACAUGUAGUACCACAUCUACAACUCAUCAUUAUCAAAGGUACUGAGAAGUAGGCCUCCCUCUCAAGUACCGUGACCGGCCGACCCGAAGACGGCUCGCAGUCACCUCUGUGCACAAAAUCCCGCUUGUGGCAGGACCGAAUUCGUCUCAUCAGUAGAGGGUAACACACAAGCUCAACAUCAAAAAUUGGCAAGUCAAACAGUUCUCAAAUAUCAUUUAACUCAAAUCAUUUGAUAAGCUCAUAACAUCAUUAAAUCAUUUUAGAAAGCUCGUACGAUAAACGUAUACUCAAAAUAUUGCCCACCUGAAGUCCUUCGCUAAUCCUGGAAAGAAAUCAGGCAACUUACUUCUUCGUCUCGCUCGGGCCUUCAUAUGUCAUCAUCACAUCGUCAUCGUCAUCGAAGGUUCAUGUGAUAAAACAAACCUUAGUCAGAAACUCAAUUUCUAAAUCCAAUCUCAUCUUAACUAUAACUUCUCACUCAACGUCUAUUUACCCAUUAAAACUCAAUCCCUAGGUAUACUCGGCUUCUAAGGAUUCACACGUCCUAUUAUCGACUUAACUCUCAACUCGGCUCAAACUCAUAGCAAUCAAGCACAUAGACAAAUAUAAACACUUAAGCAUAUGAAAAACACACAUAGACAAGUCAAAAACAAACUUCACUCUGCACUGACUCAACUUCAAAACCUCACCAGACUCUGUACAGAACUCUCCUGGAGUCGUAAUUUAUACCAAAAGAAACCUCUUUGAGUCUAG
rnacentral:lncRNA from 1 species